UUUUGAAAGGGAAACGAUUGAAGUCAGUCAUGCCGGUGGGAAUCAACUUAGGGGAAACUCUGGGUGCACUUCUUCGCUUGGCAGGUCAACGUCGAUUUUGAAUGUCAUAAAAUAAUUGGGGGAAGGUAGCUCCUUCGGGAGUGUUAUAGCCCUUGAUAGAUGUGAUGUUUGGGGUCGAGGAUUGCAACGGAUACCCUUCGGGGCUAGCCGCCUGAUCUCUAAUUGGUGUUGGGUUACGGACAGCAUGCUGACCGUGAUCUAAUUACCUGGUUAAAAGGUUAGAGCGUGCAUAAAUUCGUUAAGGAUGUUGACGUAA
rnacentral:rRNA from 1 species